GGAGAGAUGGCAGAGUCUGGCUUAACGCGGCGGUCUUGAAAACCGUUGUCCCGAAAGGGACCGGGGGUUCGAAUCCCUCUCUCUCCG
rnacentral:tRNA from 1 species